UACGGGGGGGGCAAGCGUUGUUCGGAAUUACUGGGCGUAAAGGGCUCGUAGGCGGCCAACUAAGUCGGAUGUGAAAUCCCCAGGCUUAACCUGGGAACUGCAUCCGAUACUGGAUGGCUUGAAUUCGGGAGAGGGAUGCAGAAUUCCAGGUGUAGCGGUGAAAUGCGUAGAUAUCUGGAGGAAUACCGGUGGCGAAGGCGGCAUCCUGGACCGACAUUGACGCUGAAAGCCGAAAGCUAGGGGAGCAAACGGG
rnacentral:rRNA from 1 species